AGAAAAGGUCUCUUUUGUAGACCUCUUCUUAGGAGUUUUGCAGCAAGCGCAGGACAUGGGGAUCAGGAACUUUGCAGUGAAGUGACGGAGCUUCAGAAUGAAGUGAAAAAGCUCUCUGAGAAAAAUAUCAACUGGGAGAUUAUUAAAACUGACAUUUUAUGUGCCUUGUCCAGAAGUGAGAAGUGAUUUAUUAAAAAAAAAAAAAAAAAAAAACUGUGUG